rnacentral:snRNA from 1 species
GUGCUUUGGCAGCACAUUUACUAAAACUGGAAUGAUACAGAGAAGAUUAGUGUGGUCCCUGUACAAGGAUGACAUGCAAAUUCAUGAAGUGCUCCAUAUUUAA